AUUGUGAAUCAAAUCCUAACGUUGGAAAUCAUCAGAGCAUUAACAAAAGGGCAAAGCCACAGUCUGGGUUUGGUUUGGAUUCAGAAAUCACCACAGCCAUUAAAUCUCUUCGUUUCAGGAGAAUUUUUAUUCCCAAAUCACAAGUGCUUGAUGAAUCAUUAAUAGGACCAUAUAUAGAUUAACAGAUAGAAAAGAGAUAUGGCGAAUCUCUAUGUGAAGGCGGUGCCGCCGGUGGAUCUGAACAAGAACACCGAGUGGUUCAUGUACCCAGGGG
rnacentral:misc_RNA from 1 species